CCUACGGGUGGCAGCAGUGGGGAAUAUUGGGCAAUGGGCGCAAGCCUGACCCAGCAACGCCGCGUGAAGGAAGAAGGCCCUCGGGUUGGAAACCUCUUUUUUCAAGGACGAAACAAAUGACGCUACUUGAUGAAUCAGCCACGGCUAACUACUUGCCAGCAGCCGCGGUAAUACGUAGGUGGCAAGCGUUAUCCGGAUUUACUGGGUGUAAAGGGCGUGUAGGCGGGAAGGGAAGGCAGAUGUGAAAAACAUGGGCUCAACCCAUGUCGUGCAGUUGAAACUGUAGUUCUUGAGUGUUGGAGAGGCAGGCGGAAUGCGGUGUGUAGCGGUGAAAUGCGUAGAUAUAAGGAGGAACACCAGUGGCGAAGGCGGCCUGCUGGAGCAUAACUGACGCUGAGGCGCGAAAGCGUGGGGAGCAAACAGGAUUAGAUACCCGAGUAGUC
rnacentral:rRNA from 1 species